rnacentral:rRNA from 1 species
CCCUAUUAUAUAAAAAUAUUAUAUAAUAUGUAAUGAAAUGAAAAUUAAUAAUUUUGGCGGUUAGUUAUUUUAUUAGAGGAGCUUGUUGGAAGUAGAAUUUACUCUUUAUAUUUUAUUAAAAAUAAGAUUUAUUCAUCUCCGUUAUUAAGAAAUGUGCUAUGUUAAUUUAUAGAUUAUAUUUCAGGUCAAGAUGUAAUAAUUUAUUAAUAAAGAUUAGCUACAUUUUAGGAUAAAAAUGGAUUAUUUAAAAGUAAAAUUUUUGAGAAAUUGAAUUUAAUUGUAAUACUUAAAUUAGAAUAUUUUUAUGAAUUAUUAUAAUUAAUGUA